AUUGAACGCUGGCGGCAUGCCUUACACAUGCAAGUCGAACGGUAACAGGUCUUCGGAUGCUGACGAGUGGCGAACGGGUGCGUAAUACAUCGGAACGUGCCUCGUAGUGGGGGAUAACUACUCGAAAGAGUGGCUAAUACCGCAUGGGAUCUACGGAUGAAAGCAGGGGAUCGCAAGACCCUGUGCUACUAGAGCGGCCGAUGGCAGAUUAGGUAGUUGGUGGGAUAAAAGCUUACCAAGACGACGAUCUGUAGCUGGUCUGAGAGGACGAUCAGCCACACUGGGACUGAGACACGGCCCAGACUCCUACGGGAGGCAGCAGUGGGGAAUUGUGGACAAUGGGCGCAAGCCUGAUCCAGCAAUGCCGCGUGCAGGAUGAAGGCCUUCGGGUUGUAAACUGCUUUUGUACGGAACGAAAAGCCCUGGGUUAAUACCCUGGGGUCAUGACGGUACCGUAAGAAUAAGCACCGGCUAACUACGUGCCAGCCGCCGCAGUAAGAC
rnacentral:rRNA from 1 species